rnacentral:sRNA from 1 species
UAAAGUCAGGAUAGGCUAGUGGUGGAGC